GGAAGAUGACAUUGGCCGUGUAAAAGUUCAGCGUAAAAACACUUCUAUUAUAACGGACAGCCAGUCGAGCAAUGAGGGCACAGGUAGCUCCGGUGAAAACGGUAAUAGCAGAAUUGAUGAAACUGAGGGAAGGAAGGAUUCUUAUAACAGCAGCAGUGAAGAUGAUUUUGGAAACUUUGGAGCUUAUACGGCUGAAGAACAGAGGGAAAAAAUAAGAAGAUUGUUUCAAAGGGAAGGGCUCAUAACUGUAUCUGACACUGGCUUUGAUGUUCAUUUUGACAGAGUAAUUAAAGCAUUGAUCACUAAUGCUGUAAAUGAAAACUUUCUUGAAUCCUUAUAUGGAAAGAGCAUGAGGAAAAGAACUGAAGAAGACAUGAAACAAUCAUUGGAUCAAUUUGAUCAAAAAACCAUUGAGCCACGCCUUCAGGCUCUGACGUCUACACGAAGCUGGCAAAGGAAUUACCUGAAUCGUCUUGAGAACUACCCCUGUAUUGAUAUUGGCACAUGUUCUGCUGUUAAACGAAAGUGCCAGGCUUGUUGUAUGGAUCGCAUGUGCAAGUAUUCCAUUACUUUAUCUGGUCCACCUUAUGAUAAGAAGAUACUGAAGAUGGAACAGUUCCUAAAAGAUAACAAAAGGGUUGUUUUGGUUGGUAGCUUGUGUGCAGAAAAAACAAGAUUAUAUCACCAGCUGCGACACUUCAAAUAUAAUUUAUACCAAGAGUGCGUUUCUAAGGUGAAGAAGGAAGAUUUUGAUAAGAACAAACCUGAUGAAGCAGUAAAACAGAUUUUUUCGAAACUCCAUGACUGUGACUGGAUUGAACAGCAAAAAUGCAUCAUAAACAACCUGAUAGAAGAAGCUGAUGGUUUUCAUCAAAAGGCAAAGGACAUGAUAGCCGGAAUGAAAUCGGAAUGGGGAGGCUUCUAUGGUUAAUCUUAGGUUCUGCUGUCUGGGAAAUAUCAUGCAUUUAAGAAUUGUAUUGAAACAGUGAUUUUAAAGUGCUUUUGUGUGUGUCAUGAUUUUAAAAAGCUAUUUUACAUUCAGCUUUUAAAAAUGUUAAUUUCUUAAUCAUUUUCAUAUAACUUUAAGGUUUUAAUUACAACUCCUUGCUUAUCUAUAGCAUAUACAGUAUAUCCCACAGGGUCCACAAAUGUAGAUACACUUCGUCACUCCUGAAGUGCAGCCUCACAUGGGUGAUGCACAGCAUCUAAACUGCACAACACAUCAGGUAGAGCAGUGAGGAACUGCUUCACAAGUUAAAUUAAGAGGGAACUAGAAGGAGGCCAGUCUCUUCAAGCCCAGAGUGGAAUUUAGCCAAGACUCCUGGGUACAUACCCCUACACUUUCUGGAAUGACCAAGUGUUCUAACAUUUAGUAUAACAUUCUGGAUUUCCUUUAAACUCUCCUCUCCCAUUACUAUGCUGCAGCUUUUAAAUUGUACUUUUUCAAAUUAUUUGUAUACUCUUUUCUCUUCUACAUUUGCUCAUAGUGUAUAUCUGAAAUCUGAUGUUUUUGUAUUUUUACUAUUUACAAUAAGUGAUUGUCAAAAAUCAGAAGGAUUUGGAUUAAAGAUUAAAAAAAUUGUAUGGCCAAAAAAUAAAAUUAAUGAAUGUUGUCUCACA